UACAGAGGUCUCAACCGUUGUUCGGAUUCAUUGGGCGUAAAGGGUGUGUAGGUGGCGCCGUAAGUCGGGUGUGAAAUUUCGGAGCUUAACUCCGAAACUGCAUUCGAUACUGCGGUGCUUGAGGACUGGAGAGGAGACUGGAGUUCAUGGUGUAGCAGUGAAAUGCGUAGAGAUCAUGAGGAAGACCAGUGGCGAAGGCGGGUCUCUGGACAGUUCCUGACACUGAGACACGAAGGCCAGGGGAGCAAACGGG
rnacentral:rRNA from 1 species